rnacentral:rRNA from 1 species
GACGAACGCUGGCGGUGUGCCUAAUACAUGCCAGUCGAACGCUGAAGCGAGGAGCUUGCUCUUCUUGGAUGAGUUGCGAACGGGUGAGUAACGCGUAGGUAACCUGCCUGGUAGCGGGGGAUAACUAUUGGAAACGAUAGCUAAUACCGCAUAACAACAGUUGUUGCAUGACAGCUGUUUAAAAGAUGCAAUUGCAUCACUACCAGAUGGACCUGCGUUGUAUUAGCUAGUUGGUGAGGUAACGGCUCACCAAGGCGACGAUACAUAGCCGACCUGAGAGGGUGAUCGGCCACACUGGGACUGAGACACGGCCCAGACUCCUACGGGAGGCAGCAGUAGGGAAUCUUCGGCAAUGGGGGGAACCCUGAACGAGCAACGCCGCGGGAGUGAAGAAGGUUUUCGGAUCGUAAAGCUCUGUUGUAAGAGAAGAACGGGUGUGAGAGUGGAAAGUUCACACUGUGACGGUAUCUUACCAGAAAGGGACGGCUAACUACGUG